rnacentral:rRNA from 1 species
UACGUAGGGUGCGAGCGUUGUCCGGAAUUACUGGGCGUAAAGAGCUCGUAGGUGGUUUGUCGCGUUGUUCGUGAAAUCUCACGGCUUAACUGUGAGCGUGCGGGCGAUACGGGCAGACUAGAGUACUGCAGGGGAGACUGGAAUUCCUGGUGUAGCGGUGAAAUGCGCAGAUAUCAGGAGGAACACCGGUGGCGAAGGCGGGUCUCUGGGCCGAUACUGACGCUGAGGAGCGAAAAGCGUGGGGGAGCGAACAGG